rnacentral:rRNA from 1 species
AACGAACGCUGGCGGCAGGCUUAACACAUGCAAGUCGAACGCUCGUAGCAAUACGGGAGUGGCGGACGGGUGAGUAACGCGUGGGUACGUGCCCUGAGGUACGGAAUAACUGCGGGAAACUGCAGCUAAUACCGUAUGAGCCCCGCAAGGGGGAAAGAUUUAUCGCCUUAGGAGCGGCCCGCAUCGGAUUAGCUAGUUGGUGGGGUAACGGCUUACCAAGGCUUCGAUCCGUAGCUGGUCUGAGAGGACGAUCAGCCACACUGGGACUGAGACACGGCCCAGACUCCUACGGGAGGCAGCAGUGGGGAAUCUUGCGCAAUGGGGGCAACCCUGACGCAGCCAUGCCGCGUGAAUGAUGAAGGCCUUAGGGUUGUAAAGUUCUUUUGCCCGUGACGAUGAUGACGGUAACGGGAGAAUAAGCUCCGGUUAACUUCGUGCCAGCAGCCGCCGUAACAC